AUAUUUCCGUGUUGUGUUGUUUGCAUCAAAGGCUCAGGCCAAAUUUGCUUUAAUCUAUACUACCGUUAUUACUACCUAGUCUUUUUGCCUCCUGAAAUGAUUUUACAUGCAUCUGUAUUUGCAGAAAUCUCACUGGUUCUUUAUAUUCACCUGCCUACUUCAUUAUGAAGUUAUCUCCAAACUCCCAGAUGAGUAUGAUCUCAAAUUCUUCCAAACUCCAGCAAUUCUCCUACCCAGCACCACAAAACAAACCUCAGUACUACCCAAUAAUGGGACACUAUUAUGGGUGCCAUCCUGGAUAUGCAACCAUGGAGAGAAGACAACUCCAAACCCAUGGUGGAGCCAGCUGCCACCAUACCAUCAGUAUGAGCCUUCUCUUCGGUAACUCUGGAAGAAACAUCUUAGCCACUGAGAACCACACAAAUGGUGAGACCCAUGUUGUGGGGUGAAGUGAAGAGGAUAACCCAGGAAGCUGAGAAGUUGUUGGCAAGCCAGGACCUCCCGUGUACCCCAGAAAAUAGGUUUAUUCCCACGACGGCCAUCGCCGCUUCACUUCUGCUGCAGGGGAAGCCAAACCAGACAAUGCCUAGAUGCUGUUCAGCCACAAGUCACUGUGUUUCAACUGCUGCAAUUUCAAAAACAAAACAAAAAAAAGGAUGAACUGUUGGGCUACUAACUCAGAUCUCACAGUCUCAAGGCUGGCCUUCAUAUCACUAUGGAUCCCAGGCUGGCCUUGAACUCACAGCAGACCUCCUGCCUACUGAGAUCACAGGUAUACCACACCUGGCAAUGGCAAGAGACUUAACGUUCAUGUCAUCAGUGUCCCAGAAGGAGAUACAGUAUGAUGAAAAAAUAUUUGAAGACAUAAUGAGUUCAAACUUCCCAAUUUUUGCAAAAAACCCCCGACCAAACAAAAAACACACUGUAAACAUAGAGAAUUAAGAAAUUCAGUGAACUCCAAGUUGGAUAAAGCUAAAGAAACCCAUACCCAGAAAUCACAACAACCAAUUGAAAACUAAGGACAACAAUAACAAAAUCUUAAAAGGAUCCAAAGAAGAUUCAAGAGC